rnacentral:rRNA from 1 species
AGCGUACACGGUGGAUGCCCUGGCAGUCAGAGGCGAUGAAGGGCGUGCUAAUCUGCGAUAAGCGCCGGUAAGGUGAUAUGAACCGUUAUAACCGGCGAUACCCGAAUGGGGAAACCCAGUGUGAUUCGUCACACUAUCAUUAACUGAAUCCAUAGGUUAAUGAGGCGAACCGGGGGAACUGAAACAUCUAAGUACCCCGAGGAAAAGAAAUCAACCGAGAUUCCCCCAGUAGCGGCGAGCGAACGGGGAGGAGCCCAGAGCCUGAAUCAGCAUGUGUGUUAGUGGAAGCGUCUGGAAAGGCGCGCGAUACAGGGUGACAGCCCCGUACACAAAAGCGCAUGUGCUGUGAGCUCGAUGAGUAGGGCGGGACACGUGGUAUCCUGUCUGAAUAUGGGGGGACCAUCCUCCAAGGCUAAAUACUCCUGACUGACCGAUAGUGAACCAGUACCGUGAGGGAAAGGCGAAAAGAACCCCGGCGAGGGGAGUGAAAAAGAACCUGAAACCGUGUACGUACAAGCAGUGGGAGCACCCUUUGGGGUGUGACUGCGUACCUUUUGUAUAAUGGGUCAGCGACUUAUAUUCUGUAGCAAGGUUAACCGAAUAGGGGAGCCGGAGGGAAACCGAGUCUUAAUUGGGCGUUAAGUUGCAGGGUAUAGACCCGAAACCCGGUGAUCUAGCCAUGGGCAGGUUGAAGGUUGGGUAACACUAACUGGAGGACCGAACCGACUAAUGUUGAAAAAUUAGCGGAUGACCUGUGGCUGGGGGUGAAAGGCCAAUCAAACCGGGAGAUAGCUGGUUCUCCCCGAAAGCUAUUUAGGUAGCGCCUCGUGAAUUCAUCUCCGGGGGUAGAGCACUGUUUCGGCUAGGGGGCCAUCCCGGCUUACCAACCCGAUGCAAACUGCGAAUACCGGAGAAUGUUAUCACGGGAGACACACGGCGGGUGCUAACGUCCGUCGUGAAGAGGGAAACAACCCAGACCGCCAGCUAAGGUCCCAAAGUCAUGGUUAAGUGGGAAACGAUGUGGGAAGGCCCAGACAGCCAGGAUGUUGGCUUAGAAGCAGCCAUCAUUUAAAGAAAGCGUAAUAGCUCACUGGUCGAGUCGGCCUGCGCGGAAGAUGUAACGGGGCUAAACCAUGCACCGAAGCUGCGGCAGCGACGCUGAUGCGUUGUUGGGUAGGGGAGCGUUCUGUAAGCCUGCGAAGGUGUGUCGUGAGGCAUGCUGGAGGUAUCAGAAGUGCGAAUGCUGACAUAAGUAACGAUAAAGCGGGUGAAAAGCCCGCUCGCCGGAAGACCAAGGGUUCCUGUCCAACGUUAAUCGGGGCAGGGUGAGUCGACCCCUAAGGCGAGGCCGAAAGGCGUAGUCGAUGGGAAACGGGUUAAUAUUCCCGUACUUGGUGUUACUGCGAAGGGGGGACGGAGAAGGCUAUGUUGGCCGGGCGACGGUUGUCCCGGUUUAAGCGUGUAGGUGUGUGUUCCAGGUAAAUCCGGUUCACUUUAACACUGAGGCGUGAUGACGAGGCACUACGGUGCUGAAGCAACAAAUGCCCUGCUUCCAGGAAAAGCCUCUAAGCAUCAGGUAACAUCAAAUCGUACCCCAAACCGACACAGGUGGUCAGGUAGAGAAUACCAAGGCGCUUGAGAGAACUCGGGUGAAGGAACUAGGCAAAAUGGUGCCGUAACUUCGGGAGAAGGCACGCUGACACGUAGGUGAAGUGAUUUACUCAUGGAGCUGAAGUCAGUCGAAGAUACCAGCUGGCUGCAACUGUUUAUUAAAAACACAGCACUGUGCAAACACGAAAGUGGACGUAUACGGUGUGACGCCUGCCCGGUGCCGGAAGGUUAAUUGAUGGGGUCAGCGCAAGCGAAGCUCCUGAUCGAAGCCCCGGUAAACGGCGGCCGUAACUAUAACGGUCCUAAGGUAGCGAAAUUCCUUGUCGGGUAAGUUCCGACCUGCACGAAUGGCGUAAUGAUGGCCAGGCUGUCUCCACCCGAGACUCAGUGAAAUUGAACUCGCUGUGAAGAUGCAGUGUACCCGCGGCAAGACGGAAAGACCCCGUGAACCUUUACUAUAGCUUGACACUGAACAUUGAGCCUUGAUGUGUAGGAUAGGUGGGAGGCUUUGAAGUGUGGACGCCAGUCUGCAUGGAGCCGGCCUUGAAAUACCACCCUUUAAUGUUUGAUGUUCUAACGUGGACCCGUGAUCCGGGUUGCGGACAGUGUCUGGUGGGUAGUUUGACUGGGGCGGUCUCCUCCUAAAGAGUAACGGAGGAGCACGAAGGUUGGCUAAUCCUGGUCGGACAUCAGGAGGUUAGUGCAAUGGCAUAAGCCAGCUUGACUGCGAGCGUGACGGCGCGAGCAGGUGCGAAAGCAGGUCAUAGUGAUCCGGUGGUUCUGAAUGGAAGGGCCAUCGCUCAACGGAUAAAAGGUACUCCGGGGAUAACAGGCUGAUACCGCCCAAGAGUUCAUAUCGACGGCGGUGUUUGGCACCUCGAUGUCGGCUCAUCACAUCCUGGGGCUGAAGUAGGUCCCAAGGGUAUGGCUGUUCGCCAUUUAAAGUGGUACGCGAGCUGGGUUUAGAACGUCGUGAGACAGUUCGGUCCCUAUCUGCCGUGGGCGCUGGAGAACUGAGGGGGGCUGCUCCUAGUACGAGAGGACCGGAGUGGACGCAUCACUGGUGUUCGGGUUGUCAUGCCAAUGGCACUGCCCGGUAGCUAAAUGCGGAAGAGAUAAGUGCUGAAAGCAUCUAAGCACGAAACUUGCCCCGAGAUGAGUUCU